rnacentral:misc_RNA from 1 species
UCGCAAGGAAUAAAAUUACCUUUCAAUACAAGGUCGUCCUGUCGACCCUCAAUUUCAAGGGAACAUUUGUACUCUGCUAGAGCAGCUUCUUUUUGGUCUAAGGCUUCAAGAGUUUGACCCAAGAGUUUGUGUGCGCCAGCGGAAUCCUCUCGUAUUUCUAAAUAACUGGACACGUAUCUCCUGGCUGCCUCAUAAUCACCCACUUGGUAAUAAAGUUUGGCAAUAUUGUAACUUCUUAAAUUUCUCUGAAAUUCGAAAAUUCGCUGUGCAGGACUUUCUACUCGAGAAAAUAUAAUGUGCUUUAAAUUGAUACGUUGAGCGAUC